CUUACCCUCCACGCUAUUGCCUGCUCCAGCUGGCCUUCUUCCUCCCCCACCCGAUAUAGCCACCCAUGGCACCUCCUCUCUUCCAUGGCCGCCUCCCUCAAGCUCCAGCCGAGCUCCCUCCUCCGUGCGGCAAGACAACAGGCUAACGCUCCCUGUUCCUCCCUUCCCACGGCGCCCAGCCCAAGCUCCUCUUCCCCACCAUGGCUGAGCUCACCGGAUCUCCUCCCCUCGGCGCAGUAGGUCGAGCAGCUCCUCAACUCCCCCCUCUGCUCGAGCAAGCCGUGUAUGGAGCCCCCAACCUGCAGCAAGCCGGAGCACGCAGCAGCAGUACUACUCACGUCUAGUUGUCCAGGGAAGAAGAAGCCCCUUUAUCUCUAUGAUAUGUGGGCUCAAGGCCAUGGGAACCUUCGGACUCGGGAUGAAGUUGUUCACAAUAUGAAAAGCAUGGUCGGGAUGAAGGUCGAACCAGCUCCGGAGAUACGCGCAAGGAAGCUUCGGCUCAGUAGCAGAAAAGAACCGACUUAAAGAGGAAAAGGCUAUCUAGUCUUCGAUAGAUUGUCCUAAUGUCAAUAGUAAACAUGAAGGGCAUGAAUGUAAUUUUACAUAGGCUGCGCCCUGUGCCUAUAAAUAGGUGAACCAUUAACAUUUGUGUUGCCUUGUUCUUAACUCAUAGCAUUUGAGAACAAGUCCCCAACAACUAAGUUUGUCUAUAUAGAAGCCAUAGCAAAUUGAAGUGUACUUAACUAGUAUAAUAAUAAAGGAACUAAUGAAAGAUUAGAGCGAAUGUGAUAAAUGCUUGCACUUGCGAUGUUGUGGUUGCAAUGGAUAAUAAUAGGUAGUAAUCUUCGUCCUUCCAAUGCUUGACACAGGGCGAAGGAUGGAGGUCUCCUUCGAAGGGUAUUCAGUGAAAAACAUCCCAAGAGGAGACAACGAGCAGGCAGAUUUACUAGCUAAAUCAGCGGCACAGGAGCUCCCACUCCCCUCAGAAUUAUUCUUCGAAACUCUCAAAGCAUCUUCGGUCGAGCUCAUGGAGCGAGCGGUACUUACAAUUUCACCUGUGCACAGCAAGGAUUGGAGAACAGAAAUUGUAUCUUUCCUUUAAGGCAAUUAUCCUUCGGAUGACGAAGUUUACAUAAAAAUGACACAUGUCUGGACAAGGCCAUAUGUGAUCAUAGAAGGGGAAUUGUUCAAA